GACGAACGCUGGCGGCGUGCUUAACACAUGCAAGUCGAACGGGCCUGCCUGGCUUUGGUUGGGUGGGUGAGUGGCGAACGGGUGAGUAACACGUGAGUAACCCGCCCUCUUCUCUUGGAUAACUGCUUGAAAGGGCGGCUAAUACGGGAUGUUCUGGCUGCCUCGCAUGGGGUGGUUUGGAAAGAUUCGGCCUGGUUUUGGUUGUUUUGGUGGGGGAUGGGCUCGCGGCUUAUCAGCUUGUUGGUGGGGUGAUGGCCUACCAAGGCGGUGACGGGUAGCCGGCCUGAGAGGAUGGACGGUCACACUGGGACUGAGACACGGCCCAGACUCCUCGGGAGGCAGCAGUGGGGGAUUUUGCACAAUGGGCGCAAGCCUGAUGCAGCGACGCCGCGUGAGGGAUGGAGGCCUUCGGGUUGUGAACCUCUGUCGCCGGUGAUGUAGGCUCUGCUUUGUGGGUGGGGUGACGGUA
rnacentral:rRNA from 1 species